CUAACCCCAUUUGCAGAUUGUUUAAAAUAUUUUUUUUUCUCUUUAAAAAUGCAAACUUUAAGAAUUUUUGUCCUGUUUUUGCAUCGUAGCAACCAUACUUUAUUUUUCCCCUGCUGUCCCGAUAAACCCUUUUCUGUGUUCAGUGCUGAGUCAAUAAUUAACGUAAACACAUGAGUGUGUGACUUCUUUAUUUAACAAUUUGCAAAAAGAAAAAAAAAACACAGUGAUUGCAUAUUAGGUAAAAAAAAAUGUUUUUUUAUGUUUAGACCUUUACAUUUAACUGGAAAAAAAUCUCAUCUGAAAACAUUGCAUACUUUCCUGCUACAUUGUCUGCAAUAAAAGUGGGAUGGACACUGCAGAAGCAUAGUAUUUUGGCUAAUGUAUUAAUUAUGAAACACUACCUGUUAUAAGUCAUUGUUUGCUAUGCAAGUUCAUCUGUAAUAUUUUAGGUUUUUGCAUUUGUCCUUUUCCAAAGCCCAGAGUUGCAAAAGAUCAAAGAAUAAUUAACAAAUCCAGCUGGCAGAGGAGAAAAAGAGCCCCAUCAGGUGCAGCUUAGAGUGAUGUCAUCAACGGUCAGUAGCCCUUCACAGUGAGACCUUCCUUUGCAUGAAUUGGUCCAGCCAGCUGCAAACAUGUGAUGCUUCUGCUCCCUCUCCCCACAUGUAUCUCACCAGGUGAUAGAAGAGGCUUUGGAGAAACUCGUGAAUCCACCUCAACAAGAAAGUGCUUUGAUUUUCUCUGGAAUAUCUGCAUGUUUCAUUACGUUCCAGAGUGAGUGUCUGGGGGGCGCUGCUCGAGCGUCUCGUCUAUCGUGACCACGAUCUCCUCCGGUCGUCCGGAUGUUUGGGUGUUGGUGUGAUUCAGGGAGAUGUAGCUCAUUUCCACCGGCCGCAGCCUCUCGGCCCGGUCCGAUCCCUCAUUGAUGUUGGUGGUAAUGCAGCUGAUGGCAGACUCUUUGGGGUGAGCAGCUUGAUGGGAACCAAGUACCCAGUCUGAAGGGAGACAAGGGGACAGUCUCAGUAAGAAAAUAUACAGAAUAAAUCGUUAUGUCCCGUAGCAGUCCUGGACUAUAAGGCCAGAUUUUUUUACUGCGCCUUUGUACAAAAAUUAACCCCCAGCACAUACUCAAAAACUCACCAAAAUUAGCAAGUACCCUGUACCCUGUAAAAAUGAAUUUUGAGCAUAUAAAACAACACCCUUAAGAAAAAUGAUGACGUCACAAAGGGAGAAACUGUCAAAAAAUGAAUGGAACCAAAAUCUUUCUCAAAAAAAUAAAAAUAUACUAAUAAAACCAAGACAGACUAUUCAGGAUAUCCUGAAGAAGUUUUGAGAUUAUUAUGGGAUGGCCACAGGACACCUGGCUUGGCGGCCAUUCUGUGGCAACAUGGGAAAUUUGGCAAUUUUCACAUUUUCCACAAUAUGGGAAAAGAAAACUUUUAUUCGAUGGGUCUUCACAACCACACCACAAGGUUUAACUUGUAGCUACAACUAAAGUUGUGUUGACCUUUGACCUCCAAAAGAGGCAGCCAUCUUACAUUUCUUCAAAAAAAUUACUUUUAGUACCAGCUACAAAUUUAAACUUCUUACAGAGAUUUAAAUCUAUCAACUUCUAACUUCUCAAACAUCACUAGAAAGCUGCUUUAGGAGUUUUAUAUUUUAAAUGUUGUUAGCAUGGCGAGCUCGCCGAAGUCCCACUAUUCCUUGCUAUUUUUUUUACAAGGUAAAUGUAUUACACGAAUCCCUAUUACAAGUUUAACAAAACAAUGUGUCAUGUGCAAUGAACAUACUAGGAAUAUGGGCAUGGUUAACAAAAAACCUUGGUUGCCAAGGAAAUCCAAAAUUGUAUUUUUGUUGAUUCUUAUGAAAAUUACACAAAGUUGUUUGUCUUCCCCAGGCGACCAAAAUGUAAAAUGGUUGCUAUGGAGAUAAAACCAACAGAGAAGCCGCCAUUUUGAAAAAACUGUUUCCUGAAUUUGUCAUGAACAGAUAUGACCAGGGAGGCAGAGGGGAAGGGGGAGGGGCCUAAAGCAGCCGAUCAACCAGCUUUAAUUUUAAUAAUGAAUUUUAUGCUUUAGUAGUCCAGGGCCUUCUUGAGCAAAUUUCACUACUCUUACUGUUUGCUCAAAUAAUUUACCUUUACAACUGUUUUGUACCAAUGCCCAUAUUUUUAGUACAGUCCCAAUAGUUCUAUUUUAUAGUGAUUUGUUUUCAAUAUAUUAAACAAUAAUGCCACAAUGAACCUGAAACUGUAGAAAAGUGUCAUAAAUGUUAUUGUUUUUACUGUAAAAACCACAAAAAAUGAAAACAAAAUGGUUUUAUGUUUCAUCAAAUAGAUCAAAAAUGUAUUGUCCCUACUUUUUGUUUAAUAGUAGCUGGAAAAAUACAAAAUAGACAAAAACGCUAACAUGAGGGUAGCAGGAGGAUGAUGAGGAUGGAUGGAUGUAACUCGAAAGGCAAAGAAAAGGACAAAAAAUAAACAGAAACACUGUGAUAUGUCCAUGUGAACCCUGCCUCCCCUAAUGGAAGCUGUAAUAAACUUGACUAGUGUCGAUUAGAGAUGCAAAAAAUUUAUAUAACUUUUUCCCUAUUCAUCAUUUUACACCACCCAGGCAGGAGGCCAUGAUGACCUUUGUCCCUGUGAAGGCCACAUGCAGGAAAAGCCUCCAUGAACCAAAGCCUCAUCUGACAGAAAGUUAGGACGGGUUCAGCCCCCGCGCUCCCAUCAGAGCCCAAACGCCAUCAAAUUGUUUCUGAGGGGGCUGUUGUGUGUGCCUUGGCUUUUUCAAAGUGGGCCACAUCAAUCACAGUUUUCUCAGAUGAAAAGAUCCAAACUGAAAGCUGUGAAUAUGAAGAGCGGACUGAAGCACAACAGGAUUCCCAGAGUCGCUUCAUAAAUGAUGCCAUCGAGGUUUCAGCUCAGCGGCCAGACAGCCUAGGCUGAAAUGUGCAUUUAGAUCUGUGAAGGAGUUAUUGAAACACUUUUAAAAUGACAGAUAGCUUUUUUAAUCUUUCUGAUUUUUUUGUCAGCCUUCUGUUAACAAAA